rnacentral:rRNA from 1 species
CAGCCGCCGCGGUAAUACAGAGGGUGCGAGCGUUAAUCGGAUUUACUGGGCGUAAAGCGUGUGUAGGUUGUUCGCCAAGUUGGAUGUGAAAUCCUCGGGCUCAACCUGGGAACUGCAUCCAAAACUGGCGAGCUAGAGUAUGGUAGAGGGUGGUGGAAUUUCCUGUGUAGCGGUGAAAUGCGUAGAUAUAGGAAGGAACAUCAGUGGCGAAGGCGACCACCUGGACUGAUACUGACGCUGAGGUGCGAAAGCGUGGGGAGCAAACAGGAUUAGAUACCCCAGUAGUCCCUGUCUCUUAUAC